CAGUAGCCGCGGUAACACGGAGGGGGCUAGCGUUGUUCGGAAUUAUUGGGCGUAAAGCGCACGUAGGCGGCUUGGUAAGUUAGAGGUGAAAGCCUGGAGCUCAACUCCAGAAUUGCCUUUAAGACUGCCGAGCUAGCAGGUGAGAGAGGUAAGUGGAAUUCCGAGUGUAGAGGUGAAAUUCGUAGAUAUUCGGAAGAACACCAGUGGCGAAGGCGGCUUACUGGCUCAUUCUAGACGCUGAGGUGCGAAAGCGUGGGGAGCAAACAGGAUUAGAUACCCGCGUAGUCCCUGUCUCUUAUAC
rnacentral:rRNA from 1 species